rnacentral:rRNA from 1 species
GACGAACGCUGGCGGCGUGCUUAACACAUGCAAGUCGAACGGAAAGGCCCUGUCUGGGGUGCACGAGUGGCGGACGGGUGGGUAACACGCGGGUGAUCUGCCUUCCCUUUUCUGAUGAUCCUGUGAAGCUGGGUCGGCUACUGGACGGGACUACGCGCUGCCUGCUGUGUGGUGGUGGGCAUUUUCGGUGGGGGAUGGGCGCGCGGCCUAUCAGCUUGUUGGUGGGGUGGUGGCUUACCAAGGCGGCGACGGGUAGCCGGCCUGAGAGGGUGUCCGGCCACACUGGGACUGAGAUACGGCCCAGACUCCUACGGGAGGCAGCAGUGGGGAAUAUUGCACAAUGGGCGCAAGCCUGAUGCAGCGACGCCGCGUGGGGGAUGACGGCCUUCGGGUUGUAAACCCCUUUCAGCAGUGACGAAGCGUAAGUGACGGUAAGUGGAGAAGAAGCACCGGCUAACUACGUG